AUGGUUCCCGAGAGAUUCAAGACAAACGUCUCUGAUCAAGUGCUACUUGGAAGACCUGUGAGGCAAGGUCCACAUAGGCCAAUCCUGCUCUUCCCCAGGAAGUUCCUAUAGAAUAAAAUCAACAUCGUGUGCUCA
rnacentral:lncRNA from 12 species